rnacentral:rRNA from 1 species
UACGUAGGGGGCAAGCGUUAUCCGGAUUUACUGGGUGUAAAGGGAGAGUAGGUGGCAAAGUAAGUCAGAUGUGAAAGCCCGUGGCUUAACUGCGGGAUUGCAUCAGAAACUGCUUUGCUAGAGUGCAGGAGAGGUAAGUGGAAUUCCUAGUGUAGCGGUGAAAUGCGUAGAUAUUAGGAGGAACACCAGUGGCGAAGGCGGCUUACUGGACUGUAACUGACGUUGAGGCUCGAAAGCGUGGGGAGCAAACAGGAUUAGAUACCCUGGUA